GGCCCUCUGGCGGAAUUGGUAGACGCAGCGGACUCAAAAUCCGCCGCCCCCAAAAGGCGUCCCGGUUCGAGUCCGGGGAGGGCCA
rnacentral:tRNA from 1 species